UACAGAGGCCUCGAGCGUUAGUCGGAAUCACUGGGCUUAAAGCGUGUGUAGGCGGACUUCUAAGUACCUUGUGAAAUCCCACGGCUUACCCGUGGAACUGCUCGGUAUACUGGUUGUCUUGAGCUUUCUAGGGGCGAGCGGAACAAAUGGUGGAGCGGUGAAAUGCGUAGAUAUCAUUUGGAACGCCAAUGGUGAAAACAGCUCGCUGGGGAAAUGCUGACGCUGAGAGGCGAAAGCCAGGGGAGCGAACGGG
rnacentral:rRNA from 1 species